AUCAUAUUCCUUAGAUGCAAUAAAAGAAUAUUCAAUAAACGUCAUUUAAAAGUAUUUGCUGAUAUGUUAAUAAACAUUCACAUGACAUUUAUUAUUGCCAGUCACUAUUCUAAGAACUUUAGCCAUACUAAUUCAUUUUCUCUUUACAGCAACUCUUUGAGGAAGUUAUCCAUUAUUAAUACUGUGUUAUGAAUGUGGAAACUGACAAAUGCAAACUUUAACUCAUUGAACACUCACAGCUAGAAAAUAAUAGAAUUUAAUUUUAACUUUAUGUCUUAACAACAUUGAAUUUUCUCAUGAAUUAACUUUUAGCACAGUUUUAUUAAGGAUCCCUACCUCUGUCAGCAUACACAAACACAUACACACAGCAUAUGUAAUAUCAUAGGUGUAUAUAUAUGUGUGUGUGAGAGUGUGUAUUACACAAAUACUGUAUUUAUGAUUACACAACUUCUUUCACUUUAUUCAGUUACUCAACCCAAAUAUUUUUUUCUCUUUGUAUCCUUGAUCCUCCUAAGCAGAAUCAAUUCAUUCUUAGGCUAUUUCUUUAUUUUUACUACCUAAAAAAAUAGGUGUUAACCAUCGCUCGUUGUGUUGCCUUGUAUCUCCCUUGCUUUCCAAAAAUUCUCAGUUAUAACAGUGAAAUGAAUAAAAAUUAAUUUUCAGGCAUUCUAUUUGAGCCAAUAGUUUAUUUGAUACAGGCUACUUCUGGAUUUUCAACUACUUAAAAGAUACCAAAUCCUUUUAUUUUGUAACACAAUUAUAAUUGAAUACUAUGUUAAUUAUAGCAAAUACUUACUAAUAUUAUUCUCUUUAUUAACAUGAGAUAUUCAUUACAGUGCAAACCAUAUUAUAAAAAUGUUUCUGUCACCAUUUCCUACAAAAAUUCCUGACCCAUUGCAAUCUUUAAAUAUAUUUUAGUUAUGAUUUAUCAACAGAAUCUUGAAAAUCUUAAUUUCUAAAAUACAUUUUGAUAACACAUAGUAAUUAGUAAUCCAAUACUGAAAACUUAAUCCAAAGACUUCUGAAAUAAAGCUCAUUAAGCAUUGUCCCUGUAACAAAUUUGCUGAUUGACAUCAAUAAGUUUGUGCUGAAUAGCUAGCUAUAAGGCAUAUGCUUUUUUCUAAACUUUAAAACUGAAGUACAGUCAAUAUAGUUAAAAAAUUAUUUGCAAUGCAACUAUUUUCUGUCCCUGAAUAUUUGCAUAUAGAUUUUUUGUGUGUGUGUGAUAAGAGUGUAAAAUAAAAUUGUGAUAUCUACUGUCUGAGUCACAGAGAAAAAACAAAUAUCCUCCACUUUCCUAGUAUUCCCUAUGGUCUCUGGAUAGAGUCUUCUCCUCUCCUCACUGAGAUGCUGUUUUGUCUAUGGAAAUGGUAUUGCCGUGAUUCUUUUCAACACCACAUUUUUCCAAGCAAAUAUGCACACAUUUGAUUCAAACAUAUGAAGAGUUUCAAUUCACCAUAACUUAGAUACCUUCCUACUCAUUAGUAAUAAACAGCUGAUCCUUAUCAUCUUUAAUCAUAUAGAUUUCUUGUAAUUUAGACAAAUAAAAACAGAAAUAAUACUUGUACACUAUUAGUCACAUUAUAGGAUGUCAUUAAUAAAAUACUAACUAUAAACCAACUAUAAUGGAAAAAAAUUAAAAAUCACUAUAUUCAAAAAUAAAAUAAAAUAAAAUAAAAUACCUUUAAUAGGAACUAUGUGAAAAUUCAAAGAAAUAGUUUUGUUAUAUAAUCAUUUGGACUUUGAGGAGAAAUGUGCGUUUACUCAUAUUUUAUUCCCCAGUUAAACCUGAUCCUGGAGUAGGGAUAAUUUAGAGUUACGUAGAAACUGAAGAAAGACUUUAAAAUUAUUAUUUAAUUGAUUUAAGUUCAUGUCAUUUUCUUUUUUCUUUUCUUAAUUAACUAAUUAUUUGUACCUUUCACUAUAUAGUAAUUAAAUACCCUUUAACUGUCAUCCCAAUUAAUAAAUUACAUGCAUAACUAAAUUUUAAUUUUUUCAAAGACAAUUAAAUAUAAAAAGCUAAUAUAUUCUCAAUAUGGACACACUGAAUAAAAUUUCUAAUAUUUAUAGGGAUUUUUUUUCUUAGAAACAAUUUCUAUUUUUCAGUGAAAUGGACACAUUAAUGAACACAACUCUAGCCAUUAUUUAUAUUUUACAUAUCAGAGAUUUGAUUCCAAAAACUAAUAGAGGUAUUGAUUUUGUAGAUCUCUAUUUGAAUGUUUCAUUCCCAAAGAGUAUAUUGUAGAAGAGCCAAUUACCUAAAAGUACCAACAUAUCUUUUCUAAUCUAGUCCUUAAACCUUGGCACAAAUAUUGAGAAUGGUGCUAGAAAGUCUACUACAGAACAAAUUACAAACAGCAAUCUGACAAGCAGUUUCUCAUCUUAUACAGAGUGAUUUAUCAUUUAACUAAGUAGAUUUGUGUGAGUCAUGAUGAUGAGAUUCUUGAGAGAAUAAAGUGUCAUUUACAAGUGCUCAGAAAAAGUAAUGGAAAAUAAUUUAUUAUAUUCUUUGAAGUAUGAUAUUUUACUGCAUAUUUUAUAAGAAAAAUAUUUUACAUUGGUAAAUUUGCAAAUAAUUUGACUUCUCUUUCUUGUCUUUAAUUCUGCUGAAUAAGUGUUUGAUGAAGCACAACAUUCAUCAUUGAGGCAAGUUUACCCUACUUAUCUUUCAUCCUGUGUAUUUUCCAAACAGCUAGGGAAAGGCAGUAUCUUACAUGGAUUUGAAAAGUUAGAAAAUGGGAUUACUUUAUAAGUAUAGUCAAGGGUAGUAUUUUAGAACAUCAAAAAUGUUAUAUGUUAUAACCUCAGAAUUUUAGCUGAACGUUGAGGACAAUGGGAAAUGAUUAUUCCUAGUUUUUAAUAACUAUACGGGAUAUUUUCAGAUAGCAAAAGCUGUCCAGAAUUCUUACCUGCCAAAUACAUAUACAUAACAGAAUAUUUCAUAAAAGGAAUUUGUAGCAGUAAUAUGUACCUCCCCAACUGAAGAAAUCUCUUCCCCAGAGUGGGAACAAAAUUAUUCACAGAAACCAGAAUUGGCUGAAAGAAAGGGAAAUGGCAUUUUACUCUCCAGCAUGAUAAUUGCUUGCUUACAAUAUCUUGGUACUGAUAUUGAAAUGGAAACUUGGAUAAUGUUUUUCUUGUUUUCUUGUUGAUGUUUUGUUUGCCCAUGAGCUGCCUUGACUGCCAUAUUAGACAUAAAAAGAAAUGGAGAAAAAUAACAAAUAUUUUUCUAACCAAAAAAGACAGCUUCUUAAGAGAUUCCAUAAAAUUCCCAUCGAGGAAGACUUUAAAUACCAAGCCACUUGGCUUUUAUGAGUUAGAUCACUAACUUACCAAAAAUCUUCUGACAGUCUAUCCUAAAUUUGGUUAAGAUAGUUUUGAGUGGGGAAAUGUAUCAUUUAAGAUCUAUAAUAUUUCUUCCAGCUUCACAACAUUUGGAUUUUUAAACCUUGGUGGAAUCUUUGCUACAUGAACUCAAGGAGAGCCUAAGGCUAGUGUACUGUUUCCAAGAUAAGCCCUACUAUGGGCACUGUUGGGAGUAGCUGUGUAUCUAAUAGAGAUUAGUUCCAUUAUGUGUAACUGACGAGUACAGGUUAUUGAAAAUAAAUUGAAACUGAUUAGUUUCAGUUAUCUGUAACUGAUGAGUACAGGUUAUUGAAAAUAAAUUGAAACUGAUUAAAUUCAUUUGCAUUGGGCAAUGGAAGUCAUGAAGGCAGAAGUAACAUUUACACUGACGUCUUUCCAGAGAUGAGAUCAUCUUCCUUUGGCUAUAUACUUCCCAGGGUAGAGGCCCCUAUCUCCCACCAGGCUGCCAUUAAGCAUGCUCUAUUCCUACACUCUUUAGCUGUACAAACUUGGUGCUCAGUAAAUCCUAUUUCUUCUCAUGAGUUGAUCAUGAAUUGAGGUCCAAGACCCUGGGGCUUCUCCAACAGAGUUAGUAAAACGUCUUCUCACUGUGCCCUUAGUUCUACCCUUGACUGCUUUCAUGCUAUUCCAAAUACAACACUCUGAUUUUUUAAAAUAUAUUGUCAUGCAUUUCUCAACUCAGUGUUCUCUUGUUGUUUCCUCUCUCCACAAAAAAGGAAAAAGCAACACUUCCAUAAUGGCCAAGAAAGCAUUAAACUAUCCUCCCUUUUUUUCUCACUUCUUUUUCUUGCUACUCUCUGUCUCACUCCCUCCAAGAGAGUCACAUGGGCCUCAGAACAACUCACUCAUUCCUGCCUCAGGGUCUUUGCUCUUGCUUAUCUUUUUGCCUGGAAUGUACUGAAUCCAGAAAAACAUAGUUUUCUUCUUCAUAUCUUUCCAAUUUCUGUAUGAAAAUCACUUUUCAAUGAGGAUGGUUCUCCUUAUCCUUCCCAUUAAAAAUUGAACCAUCUCCCCUAGCACUUUUUAAAAUUUUAUUCUCCAUGACAUUUUCUACAUUGAAUUACUAUUCAUUGAAUUACUAUAAAAAACAGUUAUUUUAUUAACUUUAUCUCACUUGCUAAGAGAUAACCUCCAUUGUGACAAGUGAUUUGGAAAUAUUCACAGUCCCCCGCCCCCAAAAUUGGUUGGUAGUAGAUAUUAAUAAAUAGGGAUUAUAUGAAAUUUCCUUUUAUAUGUAACAUAUUUCAGCUACCUUAUGGAGUAGUUUGAGAUUUUACAAUUUAUAACAGUAUAUAUAUGAGAAAGAUAUAUAUCAUGCAUAAAACCACUGAUUUUGCUUAAGGCAAUAACUCUUCAUGUCCAAUAAACAGUUGUAGUUUUAAGAACUUAUAAGUGGGGAUUUUCUAAUGAAGAAAUACUUCCACACUAUUCAUUUUACAACAAAAUAACUCUGGAAUUAUGAAAAACACAUCAAUUACAUAAUUUUAAUUGAGAAAAACUGAAUUUCAUAAAGACAAAAUUCAAGCCAGAAACCAGGUUACCUUUCACUCUCUAAAAUACAUUUUAAUGGUCACUAACAAAACAAUGUAAUUUCCCACCUUCAUUGUGCUGUUUGUCAAGUCUAUUUUUCUGUCCAUUCUUAUUUUUCUACCAGAAAAAAAAUACUUUUCCCAUCUAUAUUCACCUUGUUAUUACGUGUAUAUCAAAAUAUAGUUAAUGAAUUAUUAUUAAAGAGUCAAUUGCAUAGGUAACACAGAGAUGGCCUAGAGAAAGACAAAUACUGUAUGAUUU
rnacentral:lncRNA from 1 species